rnacentral:rRNA from 1 species
UGGGGAAUAUUGGACAAUGGGCGAAAGCCUGAUCCAGCCAUGCCGCGUGUGUGAAGAAGGUCUUCGGAUUGUAAAGCACUUUAAGUUGGGAGGAAGGGCAGUAAAUUAAUACUUUGCUGUUUUGACGUUACCGACAGAAUAAGCACCGGCUAACUCUGUGCCAGCAGCCGCGGUAAUACAGAGGGUGCAAGCGUUAAUCGGAAUUACUGGGCGUAAAGCGCGCGUAGGUGGUUAGUUAAGUUGGAUGUGAAAUCCCCGGGCUCAACCUGGGAACUGCAUUCAAAACUGACGAGCUAGAGUAUGGUAGAGGGUGGUGGAAUUUCCUGUGUAGCGGUGAAAUGCGUAGAUAUAGGAAGGAACACCAGUGGCGAAGGCGACCACCUGGACUGAUACUGACACUGAGGUGCGAAAGCGUGGGGAGCAAACA